CCCUUAGAUGUUCUGGGCAGCACGCGCGCUACAAUGGUCUUCGCAAACGGAUGCAUUCUCGAAGGAGAAUGCCAAUCUUGGAAUCUAUGCCUUGGUCGGGACAGUUGCUUGCAAUUUUUCGACUCGAACCAGGAAUUCCUUGUAAUCGUGAUUCAUCACAUCACGAUGAAUACGUCCCUGCCCUUUGUACACACCGCCCGUCGCUCCUACCGAUCGAAAAGUUAGGUGAAUUGUUUUGAUCGAUAAGAUUUGACUAUGGUCAACUCUCGUUGUGAAAUUCUGUGAAUCUGACUGUUUAGAGGAAGGAAAAGUCGUAACA
rnacentral:rRNA from 1 species